rnacentral:rRNA from 1 species
AUUGAACGCUGGCGGCAUGCCUUACACAUGCAAGUCGAACGGUAGAGUAGCAAUACUUGAGAGUGGCGAACGGGUGAGUAAUAUAUCGGAACGUGCCCAGUCGUGGGGGAUAACGUAGAGAAAUUUACGCUAAUACCGCAUACGAUCUAAGGAUGAAAGCGGGGGAGUUCGCAAGAACCUCGCGCGAUUGGAGCGGCUGAUAUCAGAUUAGGUUGUUGGUGAGGUAAAAGACUCACCAAGCCGACGAUCUGUAGCUGGUUUGAGAGAACGACCAGCCACACUGGGACUGAGACACGGCCCAGACUCCUACGGGAGGCAGCAGUGGGGAAUUUUGGACAAUGGGCGGAAAGCCUGAUCCAGCAAUGCCGCGUGCAGGAAGAAGGCCUCGGUUGUAACUA